rnacentral:lncRNA from 1 species
CGCAAUGUAAGGCUGGAGAACAUUGACCCUAUCAUACCCUCGCCUACCUAGUUGUGGGCGCUCUACCACGGCAUGCUUUAUGAAAGGGGCAGCCACACAGUCAAACCCAGGCGAAGCUUGCGCGUUCAUCUUACUGAUCUGCUGAGCAACCAACCCCUGAAAUGUGGUAAGGUCAGGGGCAUCUACAACAUCUAACUCCACGCCCACUCCUUCUCUCUGCUGCCGUAAUAAGGCAGGAACAUCAAGUCCCCUCCCAAUUGGAACUGCCUGAUCUCUUCCUACAUCUGGUCC